rnacentral:tRNA from 1 species
CGGGACGUGGCGCAGCCUGGUAGCGCACCUGCUUUGGGAGCAGGGGGUCGCGAGUUCGAAUCUCGCCGUCCCGA